rnacentral:rRNA from 1 species
AUGCACUUUCUUCCCCGUAUUUCACUCUUCUUCCUCCUCUCUUCUUCUUCCUCCUCUCUUCUUCUUCCUCCUCUCUUCCCCAUCGUCGGCCGCACACCAUUUCCCCCCGCUCACUGCUCGCCCGCCCGCACCAUCUUCCUUGGUUGCCGUGGUGCCCUCGACAUGCUACUACCCGUCCACCUGUCCUUCAUGUGCAGCCACUACUGGGCAGGCAUGAAGGCCAACUGGAUCGUCCUCAUCCACCAAUCCGGUAGUCCGUGGCAUCUUGUGGAUAUCUACACCCAACGAGAGAUCACCCUUCCAUCGUUGGAUACCGCAGCCAACGAGCCUCACGGCCCGCCGGACACUCCUGCCUACUACGCACAAGACGACCUGGAAUCAUACCAGCCGAUGGGUGGUGGUUUGUCGCUCGUUCAGCUGAAGACGGAGCUCAUCGAGCACCUUGAGGCCAAAGUGACUGCUGAUAGCGCGAGAUCUCACCCUCUCAUUGAUUUUUUCAUACCAGCCAUCGACAGCGAGCACGACAUAUGCUACACCCAUCCUAAGAAACUUCCAGGUAUCACACUGAGUGGCCUAAGCAAGCAUUUCUUCCAGCGCAAUUCCAGGGCGUUCAAAAGGGGCACAUGGAUGCACCGCAAGAUACAAUCGGAGUGCGGCAUGCACGUGAUGUGGCACAAGGCCGACAAUACCUUGCCGGUGGUGGUCAACGGCUGGCAGACGGGCAGCAAAAAGGUUCUAGUGCUGCACACCAACAAGAACUUCGACCAGCAGAGGACCAACUGGUUGAUGCACCAGUACCACCUCGGGGACCUGGAGCAAGAGAAGGAGCGGGAGUAG